rnacentral:rRNA from 1 species
UGAUCCUGGCUCAAGACGACCUUUGGCGGCGCGCCUAACACAUGCAAGUCGAACGGAGAUACCCGAAUGAAGUUUUCGGACUGACUUUGGAAUAUCUUAGUGGCGAACGGGUGAGUAACACGUGAGGAACCUGCCUUUAAGAGUGGGAUAACACUUAGAAAUAGGUGCUAAUACCGCAUAAGACCACAGUGUCGCAUGGCACAGCGGUCAAAGGAGCAAUCCGCUUUUAGAUGGACUCGCGUCUGAUUAGAUUGUUGGUGAGGUAACGGCUCACCAAGUCUGCGAUCAGUAGCCGGACUGAGAGGUCGAUCGGCCACAUUGGGACUGAGACACGGCCCAGACUCCUACGGGAGGCAGCAGUGGGGAAUAUUGGGCAAUGGGGGCAACCCUGACCCAGCGAUGCCGCGUGAGGGAAGAAGGUUUUCGGAUUGUAAACCUCUGUCUUUGGGGACGAAACAAAUGACGGUACCCAAGGAGGAAGCCACGGCUAACUACGUGCCAGCAGCCGCGGUAAAACGUAGGUGGCAAGCGUUGUCCGGAAUUACUGGGUGUAAAGGGAGCGCAGGUGGGCAUGCAAGUCGAAUGUGAAAUCUACGGGCUCAACUCGUAAAUUGCGUUCGAUACUGUGUGUCUUGAGUGUAGGAGAGGUUAGUGGAAUUCCCGGUGUAGCGGUGAAAUGCGUAGAGAUCGGGAGGAACACCAGUGGCGCAGGCGACUAACUGGACUAUGACUGACGCUGAGGCGCGAAAGUGUGGGGAGCAAACAGGAUUAGAUACCCUGGUAGUCCACACUGUAAACGAUGAAUGCUAGGUGUAGGGGGUAUCGACUCCUUCUGUGCCGGAGUAAACACAAUAAGCAUUCCGCCUGGGGAGUACGGCCGCAAGGUUGAAACUCAAAGAAAUGACGGGGGGCCCGCACAAGCAGCGGAGCAUGUGGUUUAAUUCGAAGCAACGCGAAGAACCUUACCAGGUCUUGACAUCCAGUAAAAUCUGUAGAGAUACAGUGUGCCUUCGGGCGUACUGAGACAGGUGGUGCAUGGUUGUCGUCAGCUCGUGUCGUGAGAUGUUGGGUUAAGUCCCGCAACGAGCGCAACCCUUGUGAUCAGUUACUAACGGGUAAUGCCGAGGACUCUGAUAAGACUGCCGGGGACAACUCGGAGGAAGGUGGGGACGACGUCAAAUCAUCAUGCCCCUUAUGACCUGGGCUACACACGUGCUACAAUGGCCACUACACAGAGAAGCGAAUUCGAGAGGAAGAGCGGAUCUCAAAAAAGUGGUCCCAGUUCGGAUUGUGGGCUGCAACCCGCCCACAUGAAGUCGGAGUUGCUAGUAAUCGCGGAUCAGCAUGCCGCGGUGAAUACGUUCCCGGGCCUUGUACUCACCGCCCGUCA